UACGGAGGAUGCAAGCGUUAUCCGGAAUGAUUGGGCGUAAAGGGUCCGCAGGUGGCAAUGUGUGUCUGCUGUCAAAGAAUGAGGCUUAACCUCAUCAAGGCAGUGGAAACUACAUAGCUAGAGUACGGUCGGGGUAGAAGGAAUUCCUGGUGUAGCGGUGAAAUGCGUAGAGAUCGGAAAGAACACCAAUGGCGAAAGCGACUUCCUGGACCAAUACUGACGCUCAUGUGCGAAAGCGUGGGGAGCAAACAGG
rnacentral:rRNA from 1 species